rnacentral:rRNA from 1 species
CAGUAGGGAAUCUUCCACAAUGGGCGCAAGCCUGAUGGAGCAACACCGCGUGAGUGAAGAAGGGUUUCGGCUCGUAAAGCUCUGUUGUUAAAGAAGAACACGUAUGAGAGUAACUGUUCAUACGUUGACGGUAUUUAACCAGAAAGUCACGGCUAACUACGUGCCAA